UCCCUGAUAGCUCAGUUGGUAAAGAAUCUGCCUGCAAUGCAGGAGACGCUGGUUCGAUUCCUGGGUAGGGAA
rnacentral:tRNA from 1 species